rnacentral:rRNA from 1 species
AGCAGUCGCCGCGGUAAUACAGAGGGUGCGAGCGUUAAUCGGAUUUACUGGGCGUAAAGCGUGCGUAGGCGGCUUCUUAAGUUGGAUGUGAAAUCCCUGAGCUUAACUUAGGAAUUGCAUUCGAUACUGGGAAGCUAGAGUAUGGGAGAGGAUGGUAGAAUUCCAGGUGUAGCGGUGAAAUGCGUAGAGAUCUGGAGGAAUACCGAUGGCGAAGGCAGCCAUCUGGCCUAAUACUGACGCUGAGGUACGAAAGCAUGGGGAGCAAACAGGAUUAGAGACCCCCGUAGUCCCUGUCUCUUAUAC